CUCAUCCCGGUUGACAACUAGACAUACCUGUCGACUGGGAGGGAUUCCUCCCGGUUGACUGGUGUGUAUAGUCAUCAACCGGGAGGGAUUCCUCCCGGUUGACUGGUAUGUCUAGUUGUCAACCGGGAGGGA
rnacentral:miRNA from 1 species